rnacentral:rRNA from 1 species
UCGCCUGUUUAUCAAAAACAUAGUUUUAUGUUUAUAUAUAAAAUAACUUCUGCCCAGUGUCAAAAAAGAUAAAUGGCCGCAGUACCUUGACUGUGCUAAGGUAGCAUAAUCAAUUGGCUUUUAAUUGAAGUCUAGAAUGAAUGGGACAAUGAAAUUUAGCUGUCUUAAAUUUUUUAAUUAUAAUUUAUUUAUAAGGUGAAAAUACCUUAAUCUAUAAUAAAGACGAGAAGACCCUAUGAAUUUUUAAAAUAUUUUUGUUGGGGCGACAGUUUAAAAAUCAAAAAUCUUAAAUUUAUAUUAUAUAACGAAUUUUUUUAAUAAAAAUUAAAUUACCUUAGGGAUAACAGCAUUAUUAUUAAAAUAGUUUGUGACCUCGAUGUUGGACUAGGAACUAAAAGGCUAGCCGUCUUUAUAGAUUUGUUCUGUUCGAACAAUUAAAUCCUACGUGAUCUGAGUUCAGACCGGA